AUGGAAGGUUGAAUGGUUCUUGGAAGAUUUGUUUCUUGGCGGUUAACGGUCAAUCAUUCUUGGUUAUAGACGGUUAUCUGUUAAAUCCUCUUUGGGG
rnacentral:rRNA from 1 species